GAAUAUUGCACAAUGGGGGAAACCCUGAUGCAGCGACGCCGCGUGAGUGAAGAAGGUCUUCGGAUCGUAAAACUCUGUCCUUGGUGACGAAAAAAAUGACGGUAGCCAAGGAGGAAGCCCCGGCUACCUACGUGCCAGCAGCCGCGGGAAUACGUAGGGGGCGAGCGUUGUCCGGAUUUACUGGGCGUAAAGGGUGAGUAGGCGGUAAUAUGUGUCAGAUGUAAAAGGCUAUGGCUUAACUAUAGUACGCAUUUGAAACUGUAUUACUUGAGUGCAGGAGAGGUAAGUGGAAUUCCUAGUGUAGCGGUGAAAUGCGUAGAUAUUAGGAGGAACACCAGUGGCGAAGGCGACUUACUGGACUGUAACUGACGCUGAGUCACGAAAGCGUGGGUAGCAAACAGG
rnacentral:rRNA from 1 species